GACUGUGCUGUUCCAGCAUCUCCGGUUGGCUUUGGCCAUUUGAACUUCAAAAAUCCCGUCAUUUGAUCGACAAAAAUCAUGAACGCAGCGCCAGGAACGCACUCUCUAGCCUUUCGAGUGAUGAGGCUAUGCCGGCCGUCUUUCCACGUGGAAGCGCCGCUCCGUGUCGACCCCGCCGAUCUCAUUGUCGGAGAAGACAUUUUCGACGAUCCUAUCGCCGCUUCUCAGCUCCCGCCUCUCAUCGACAGCCAAAUCACCAAGCUCACCGAUACAUCCGAUCUCAGUUACCGCUCCAGAUUCCUCCUCCAACAUCCUUCCGAUUCCUUCGGCCUCACCGGCCUCCUCGUCCUCCCUCAAGCCUUCGGGGCUAUUUAUUUGGGAGAAACAUUUUGCAGCUACAUUAGCAUUAAUAACAGCUCUAAUUUUGAAGUUAGGGAAGUUGUAAUUAAGGCAGAAAUUCAAACGGAGAGACAACGGAUCCUCCUUUUAGACACUUCAAAAGCACCUGUAGAGUCGAUUCGUGCUGGAGGUCGCUACGAUUUCAUUGUCGAACAUGAUGUUAAGGAACUCGGAGCUCAUACGUUGGUCUGUACUGCGCAUUACAGUGAUGGUGACGCCGAACGUAAAUAUCUUCCGCAGUUUUUCAAAUUUAACGUUGCCAAUCCACUUUCAGUUAGAACUAAGGUCCGUGCUGUCAAGGAAACUACAUAUUUAGAGGCAUGUAUUGAAAAUCAUACAAAGACAAACCUUUAUAUGGACCAAGUUGAGUUUGAGCCAGCUCCGCAGUGGAAUGCAAAAAUACUAAAAGCUGAAGAAAAAUCUGAGACAGAUUCUCAGACAAGGGAUAUAUACAAGCCUCCUGUUCUUAUCAGAUCGGGUGGAGGAAUUCACAACUAUCUUUAUCAGUUAAGAUUGUCUACACAAGGUUCUGCACAGAGUAAUGUUCUUGGAAAGCUUCAAAUAAUAUGGCGUACAAAUCUUGGUGAACCUGGUCGUCUGCAGACACAGCAGAUUCUUGGCACUCCGAUCACACGUAAGGAGAUCGAAAUGUGCAUUACAGAGGUUCCAUCUGUCAUCAACUUGAAUAAACCGUUUCCGGUACACUUGAAUCUCACUAACCAUACAGAUAGAGAAUUGGGCCCCUUCGAGGUUUGGUUAUCACAAGAUGAUUCUCUGGAAGAGAAGGCUGUUAUAAUCAAUGGCCUUCAAACAAUGAUGUGGUAUCUAUACAGGAAUUAUUACAGUUGGAAGCAUUUGGAACCACAGAUGUUCACCUGAACUUGAUUGCAACGAAACUUGGAGUCCAGAAGAUUACAGGCAUUACAGUGUUUGAAAAAACAGAGAAGAAAACCUACGAACCACUGCCUGAUAUAGAGAUUUUUGUGGAUAUUGAUUGAUCUAUCGACUAGUUUUGAAGGAUUUGGUCUAUAAAGGUGUACUUUUUAAUCUUCGGUGGAUUUGUUUCAUCUCUGAUUAGAAAGCUAAAGGUGGUUGGGAAAUUUAAGUAUCAAGUUACCGUGGAUGCUAGGAUUUUGACUCCUGUUCUUAAUCGGGAGGGAUGCCCAAAUUACUUGUAUUCAUCGUAGAGUUCAAUUAAUUGAAUUGUAAAUGACCUUUUGGCAUUGACAGAACUCAUACGGAGGUCCCUGUAGUAUUACCAUUUUUGUUCCUAAA